rnacentral:rRNA from 1 species
CCUACGGGGGGCAGCAGUCGAGAAUCAUUCACAAUGGGGGAAACCCUGAUGGUGCGACGCCGCGUGGGGGAAUGAAGGUCUUCGGAUUGUAAACCCCUGUUAUGUGGGAGCAAAUUAACAAGAGAGUACCACAAGCGGAAGAGCCGGAUAACACUGUGCCAGCAUCCGCGUUAAUGCAGAGGUCUCAAGCGUUGUUCGGAAUCACUUGGCGUAAAGCGUGCGUAGGCUGUUGCGUAAGUCGAGUGUGAAAGGCGCGGGCUCAACCCGCGGACGGCACAUGAUACUGCGAGACUAGAGUGAUGGAGGGGGAAGCGGAAUGCGCGGUGUAGCAGUGAAAUGCGUAGAUAUCGAGAGGAACACUCGUGGCGAAGGCGGGUUCCUGGACAUUAACUGACGCUGAGGCACGAAGGCCAGGGGAGCGAAAGGGAUUAGAUACCCUAGUAGUC